GAUGAACGCUGGCGGCGUGCCUAAUACAUGCAAGUCGAGCGAACAGACGAGGAGCUUGCUCCUCUGACGUUAGCGGCGGACGGGUGAGUAACACGUGGAUAACCUACCUAUAAGACUGGGAUAACUUCGGGAAACCGGAGCUAAUACCGGAUAAUAUAUUGAACCGCAUGGUUCAAUAGUGAAAGGCGGUUUUGCUGUCACUUAUAGAUGGAUCCGCGCCGCAUUAGCUAGUUGGUAAGGUAACGGCUUACCAAGGCGACGAUGCGUAGCCGACCUGAGAGGGUGAUCGGCCACACUGGAACUGAGACACGGUCCAGACUCCUACGGGAGGCAGCAGUAGGGAAUCUUCCGCAAUGGGCGAAAGCUUGACGGAGCAACGCCGCGUGAGUGAUGAAGGUCUUCGGAUCGUAAAACUCUGUUAUUAGGGAAGAACAAAUGUGUAAGUAACUAUGCACGUCUUGACGGUACCUAAUCAGAAAGCCACGGCUAACUACGUG
rnacentral:rRNA from 1 species